rnacentral:sRNA from 1 species
GUGUGGUGGACCUCAGUUUUGAGGCCGAGAGUCCUCUGGCGCCCCCCACAGAGCUCCUGGAGAGACUGCCCAGCUAUGACUGGCUUCUUCAAGGGGGCAGAGGACAGAUAUUCUUCCCGCCUUUGGAGGCCCCAGGGAGGCCCCAGGAGCAAAGGUCCUGGCUCUCGUUCCUGGAACACAGAGUCCCUGUGAUGACGGAGGAGGUGGCCCGGGAAGCCCUCCUCAGCUUUGUGAACUCUAAAUGCUGCUACAGCAGCACAGUGGCUGGAGACCUCGUCAUCCGGGAGCUGAAGCAGCAGACCCUCUGCCGAUACCGUCUGGAGACCUUUAGUGAAUCCAGGAUAA